UUAGACGGCAAAAGGACAAACGCUAACUAGCGUUCCUGUAGCCUUCGUCUGUCUUCUUCCUGCGAUAGUUUCGUGUGUUAUGCGCAAGACCUGCAACGAGCUGCGCACGGAACAGUCCAGUAGCCCAUUCACGUUCUCCUUUAGCCAAAAUUUGUUUACAAAACAAAGUCAGCACAGCAAUGACUAACGGCACAAUUCGAAAACCGUCGCAACACUUUACACCACUCUACGUGUCAUGGCCAUCACCGGCAAUUACUUCCUCCCAGUAAAUCCAGUCGCUCCAUCUGCCAAGUACUUCUUUUUUUCGACAGAUGUAUCCAAAACAAGCAAUUACUUCACACUAGAACACCGGUCGGUAACCAAGUGCGUAGUCUUCCAUGCACUAACUGCGGUGCUCUCCAAGCACGGCGCAUCAUCUAUGGAAUAGUCGCACGUGACGCGCAAGGUCAUCAAUAGGGCCACUCAAUACGAAUACGGGCAGUUCGCGUCGACCAUCCAUGCUGAAGUGUACAAGAUCUUGCUGCAUUUUUUCAAAAGAAAACACACAUUGGACUCGUUCAAAUGGUAAACAAAGCAUUUUUUUAUAUUACACAAAUAUGUACAUGGAAUGUCAACAUUCAUCUACACAAAUGUAUGUGUACACACCACCAUUCACAAAAGAAGAAAAAUCUGUAUAUUCAAACAAACUAGGCUUGCAUCCAUAAAUAACCUAACAAUGCAUGCCAUCCUCUAAUACUAAAAAAAAAAAAAAAAGAAGUCAGGCAGUAGAACAGUGAAAAAUAAGUUACGCUUUCAGCCAUUAAAAAAAAAUAAUAAAGUAGAGAGGAAUUUUGCACUCAUGCAACAAAUG
rnacentral:lncRNA from 1 species